ACUUUUAAACAAAAAGAUACAAGUCCCCAAAAUUGACACGGGUGGGCAAGUAGGCCUGAUGCUUGCUCUUUAUUGGAAAGUCAAUUAAGUUGAUAAUCCGAUAAUGAGAGUUGACGAUCGAAGUCUCGGUGAAUGACAACCGUAAUUAUAACAAUCCCAAAGUAGCGAAAUUCCUUGUCGAAUAGUAGGCUUGCCCCCGCCAUGAGUAAAU
rnacentral:rRNA from 1 species